GUUAAACGGCCGCGGUAUUCUGACCGUGCUAAGGUAGCGUAAUCACUUGUCUUUUAAAUAAAGACACGUAUGAAUGGCAUCACGAGGGCUCAACUGUCUCCUCCCCCCAGUCAAUGAAAUUGAUCUGCCCGUGCAGAAGCGGACAUAAACACAUAAGACGAGAAGACCCUAUGGAGCUUAAGACAAAAAGCCAACCAUGCUCGACGACUUAAAAACCAAUAGGAAUAAGAAGUAACUAAGCCCUAUGGAGCUGACUAAAAUGUCUUCGGUUGGGGCGACCUCGGAGGAAAAUAAAGCCUCCGCGUGGAAUGGGGUAAUAACUUAUCCUAAAACCAAGAAAAACAAAUCUAAGUAACAAAAAAUUUGACCAAUAAUGACACGGACUUAGUCCGAUCAACGAACCAAGUUACCCUAGGGAUAACAGCGCAAUCCCUUCCCAGAGUCCAUAUCGACGAAGGGGUUUACGACCUCGAUGUUGGAUCAGGACAUCCUAAUGGUGCAGCCGCUAUUAAGGGUUCGUUUGUUCAACGAUUAAAGUCCU
rnacentral:rRNA from 1 species